GAGUUUGAUUAUGGCUCAGGACGAACGCUGGCGGCGUGCCUAAUACAUGCAAGUCGAGCGGAGUUGAAUAAGUGCUUGCACUAAUUCAACUUAGCGGCGAACGGGUGAGUAACACGUAAAGAACCUGCCUCAUAGACUGGGACAACUACUGGAAACGGUAGCUAAUACCGGAUAACAUAUUUUACCGCAUGGAAAAAUAUUGAAAGUCGGUCAUGCUGACACUAUGAGAUGGCUUUGCGGUGCAUUAGCUAGUUGGUAGGGUAAAGGCCUACCAAGGCGACGAUGCAUAGCCGACCUGAGAGGGUGAUCGGCCACACUGGGACUGAGACACGGCCCAGACUCCUACGGGAGGCAGCAGUAGGGAAUCUUCCGCAAUGGACGAAAGUCUGACGGAGCAACGCCGCGUGAGUGAAGAAGGAUUUCGGUUCGUAAAACUCUGUUGUUAGGGAAGAAUGAUUGUAUAGUAACUAUAUACAGAGAGACGUACCUAACCAGAAGCCACGCA
rnacentral:rRNA from 1 species